rnacentral:rRNA from 1 species
UACGUAGGGUGCGAGCGUUGUCCGGAAUUAUUGGGCGUAAAGAGCUUGUAGGCGGUUUGUCGCGUCUGCCGUGAAAAUUCGAGGCUCAACCUCGAACUUGCGGUGGGUACGGGCAGACUAGAGUGUGGUAGGGGAGACUGGAAUUCCUGGUGUAGCGGUGAAAUGCGUAGAUAUGUGGAGGAAUCCGAUGGCGAAGGCAGCCCCCUGGGUCAAGACUGACGCUCAUGCACGAAAGCGUGGGGGAGCAAACAGG